AGUCGAGGGGUAGAAGGGGCUUGCCCCUUCGAGACCGGCGCACGGGUGCGUAACGCGUAUGCAACCUACCUUCAACAGGGGGAUAGCCCAGAGAAAUUUGGAUUAAUACCCCAUGGCAUAUCGGUGCGGCAUCGCAUCGUUAUUAAAGUACCGACGGUUGGAGAUGGGCAUGCGUCCCAUUAGCUAGUUGGUGUGGUAACGGCACACCAAGGCGACGAUGGGUAGGGGUCCUGAGAGGGAGAUCCCCCACACUGGUACUGAGACACGGACCAGACUCCUACGGGAGGCAGCAGUGAGGAAUAUUGGUCAAUGGGCGCAAGCCUGAACCAUCCAUGCCGCGUGCAGGACGACGGCCCUAUGGGUUGUAAACUGCUUUUGUACGGGAAGAAACACCGGUUCGUGAACCGGCUUGACGGUACCGUAAGAAUAAGGAUCGGCUAACUCCGUGCCAGCAGCCGCGGUAAUACGGAGGAUCCAAGCGUUAUCC
rnacentral:rRNA from 1 species